rnacentral:rRNA from 1 species
GGCUCCCUGUAUAUUAAAAAUAAGGAGUCGGACCUGCCCAGUGAAAUUUUUCAACGGCCGCGGUACUCUGACCGUGCAAAGGUAGCAUAAUCAUUUGCCUUAUAAUUGAAGGCUUGUAUGAAUGGUUUGACAAGAAUGAAGCUGUCUCUCUAUAAUUAAUUAAAAUUUUAUUUAUAGGUGAAGAAGCCUAUAUUACAUUGAAAGACAAGAAGACCCUAUCGAGCUUUAAAAAAAUUAAUAAAUUAAAAAAUUAAUAUUGAAAUAUAAAUUUUGUUAUUAAGUUAUUUUAGUUGGGGCGACUGAGGAACAGAUAAAGCUUCCUGUAUAAUAUUAACACAUUCAAGUAUUGAUCCAAACAUUUUGAUUAAAGGAAUUAGUUACCGUAGGGAUAACAGCAUUAUCUUUUUUGAGAGUUCUAAUCGAAAAAAAGGUUUGUGACCUCGAUGUUGGACCAGAAUAUCCUAAAGAUGCAGCCGUCUUUAAGGGUUGGUCUGUUCGACCAUUAAAAUUCUACGUGAUCUGAGUUCAGACCGGCGUGAGCCAGGUCAGUUUCUAUCUUCAAUUCUUAUAAGUUAACUUAGUACGAAAGGACCAGUUUACUGUAAAAUAUUUACUACGUUUGAUAAAAUAUAAAGCAUUAUUAAAUAAGUCAUAAUAGCAUAAAAAUUAUAAUCAAAUUAGCAAAGAUUUAAUGCAAUUGACUUAGGAUCAAUAGACAUAGGUGAAAUUCCUUUAUUUGAUAUAUAAAGGUGGCAGAUGAA